CGGCGUGCCUAAUACAUGCAAGUCGAGCGAACAGAUAAGGAGCUUGCUCCUUUGACGUUAGCGGCGGACGGGUGAGUAACACGUGGGUAACCUACCUAUAAGACUGGGAUAACUUCGGGAAACCGGAGCUAAUACCGGAUAACAUUUGGAACCGCAUGGUUCUAAAGUGAAAGAUGGUUUUGCUAUCACUUAUAGAUGGACCCGCGCCGUAUUAGCUAGUUGGUAAGGUAACGGCUUACCAAGGCGACGAUACGUAGCCGACCUGAGAGGGUGAUCGGCCACACUGGAACUGAGACACGGUCCAGACUCCUACGGGAGGCAGCAGUAGGGAAUCUUCCGCAAUGGGCGAAAGCCUGACGGAGCAACGCCGCGUGAGUGAUGAAGGGUUUCGGCUCGUAAAACUCUGUUAUUAGGGAAGAACAAACGUGUAAGUAACUGUGCACGUCUUGACGGUACCUAAUCAGAAAGCCACGGCUAACUACGUGCCAGCAGCCGCGGUAAUACGUAGGUGGCAAGCGUUAUCCGGAAUUAUUGGGCGUAAAGCGCGCGUAGGCGGUUUCUUAAGUCUGAUGUGAAAGCCCACGGCUCAACCGUGGAGGGUCAUUGGAAACUGGGAAACUUGAGUGCAGAAGAGGAAAGUGGAAUUCCAUGUGUAGCGGUGAAAUGCGCAGAGAUAUGGAGGAACACCAGUGGCGAAGGCGACUUUCUGGUCUGUAACUGACGCUGAUGUGCGAAAGCGUGGGGAUCAAACAGGAUUAGAUACCCUGGUAGUCCACGCCGUAAACGAUGAGUGCUAAGUGUUAGGGGGUUUCCGCCCCUUAGUGCUGCAGCUAACGCAUUAAGCACUCCGCCUGGGGAGUACGACCGCAAGGUUGAAACUCAAAGGAAUUGACGGGGACCCGCACAAGCGGUGGAGCAUGUGGUUUAAUUCGAAGCAACGCGAAGAACCUUACCAAAUCUUGACAUCCUUUGAAAACUCUAGAGAUAGAGCCUUCCCCUUCGGGGGACAAAGUGACAGGUGGUGCAUGGUUGUCGUCAGCUCGUGUCGUGAGAUGUUGGGUUAAGUCCCGCAACGAGCGCAACCCUUAAGCUUAGUUGCCAUCAUUAAGUUGGGCACUCUAGGUUGACUGCCGGUGACAAACCGGAGGAAGGUGGGGAUGACGUCAAAUCAUCAUGCCCCUUAUGAUUUGGGCUACACACGUGCUACAAUGGACAAUACAAAGGGCAGCUAAACCGCGAGGUCAUGCAAAUCCCAUAAAGUUGUUCUCAGUUCGGAUUGUAGUCUGCAACUCGACUACAUGAAGCUGGAAUCGCUAGUAAUCGUAGAUCAGCAUGCUACGGUGAAUACGUUCCCGGGUCUUGUACACACCGCCCGUCACACCACGAGAGUUUGUAACACCCGAAGCCGGUGGAGUAACCAUUUAUGGAGCUAGCCG
rnacentral:rRNA from 1 species